rnacentral:ncRNA from 1 species
AGCUUGGUCCUGACUUACUAUAAGCUUUACCUAAAUUAAACAAGCAAGUUUCCGCACCCCUGGGAGAACGCCCUCCAUCCCCCCGUCUGGGAAGAGGAGCUGGCAUCAGGCACAUCACAUUAGCCCAAGACGCCUUGCUUAGCCACACCCCUAAGGGAAUUCAGCAGUAAUAAAUAUUAAGCCAUAAGUGAAAACUUGACUUAGUUAGGGUUAAAAGGGCCGGUAAAAUUCGUGCCAGCCACCGCGGUUAUACGAAAGACCCCAGUUUAUAGAUACGGCGUAAAGGGUGGUUAAGAUAAAACCAAAAUAAGGCCAAAGAUCCCCUAAGCAGUCAUACGCUUCACGAGAACACGAAGCCCAAAUACGAAAGUCGCCUUAAAAUACCUGACCCCACGAAAGCUGAAAUACAAACUGGGAUUAGAUACCCCCCUAUGUUCAGCCUUAAACCCAGAUAACAAAUUACAUAACUAUCCGCCAGGGGACUACAAGCACAGCUUAAAACCCAAAGGACUUGGCGGUGCCUCAGAUCCACCUAGAGGAGCCUGUUCUGAAACCGAUAACCCCCGUUAAACCUCACCACCCCUUGCCUUUCCAGCCUAUAUACCGCCGUCGUCAGCUUACCCUGUGAAGGCUUUAAUAGUAAGCAAAAUGAAUUCCACCCAAAACGCCAGGUCGAGGUGUAGCACAUGGAGUGGGAAGAAAUGGGCUACAUUUUCUAUUAUAGAAUAUACGGAUAAUGCCAUGAAAACAGCAUCUGAAGGAGGAUUUAGUAGUAAAAAAUAAACAGAGUGUAUUUUUGAAUUAGGCUCUGAGGCGCGCACACACCGCCCGUCACUCUCCCCAUACCACUAUAUAAUUAUUCCUAAUACUUAAACAUACAUACGGGGAGGCAAGUCGUAACAUGGUAAGUGUACCGGAAGGUGCACUUGGAAUAAUC